GAUGAAGAACGUAGCGAAAUGCGAUAAGUAAUGUGAAUUGCAGAAUUCAGUGAAUCAUCGAAUCUUUGAACACACAUUGCGCCCCCUGGUAUUCCGGGGGGCAUGCCUGUCCGAGCGUCAUUACAACCCUCAAGCUCAGCUUGGUAUUGGGCCCCGCCGCUCCGGCGGGCCCUAAAGUCAGUGGCGGUGCCGUCCGGCUCCGAGCGUAGUAAUUCUUCUCGCUCUGGAGGUCCGGUCGUGUGCUCGCCAGCAACCCCCAAUUUUUUUCAGGUUGACCUCGGAUCAGGUAGGGAUACCCGCUGAACUUAAGCAUAUCAAUAAGCGGAGGA
rnacentral:misc_RNA from 1 species